rnacentral:rRNA from 1 species
UACGGAGGGUGCGAGCGUUUGUCCGGAAUCACUGGGCGUAAAGGGCGCGUAGGCGGCAUGCCAAGCGUGUGGUGAAAGCCCGGGGCUCAACCCCGGGUCGGCCGUGCGGACUGGCGUGCUCGAGCACUGUAGGGGCGGGUGGAAUUCCGGGUGUAGCGGUGGAAUGCGUAGAGAUCCGGAGGAACACCGGUGGCGAAGGCGGCCUGCUGGGCCGACCCUGACGCUGAGGCGCGAAAGCGUGGGGAGCGAACCGG